CCUCUCUCCUGUCGGCGGGGAUCGGUUCCAAUGUUCAUCCGACUCAACCGACGCUUUCAGCCUUGCCCGAACUCAACAGAAACAUAUCAGCUGAGAUACAGAAUGCAAGCAGGUGUCCAGAGAAGUUGGCAGCUUUCAAAAAAACUUCAAGGAUGUGCCACAAAACAACCUUGUUCAGAAUGUAGCAUUGUCAGUGACAAAAUUACCUUCGGAGAAUAAUUGUUCAGGAAACAUCGUGUAUUCAAGCACAUCAUUCCUGCUGAAGGAAAGCCAGUUACAAACCAUUAAAAUAUAGAACCUGAAUGUUCUGAGGGAGAAAGUGAGGACUGCAGAUGCUGGAGAUCAGAGCUGAAAAUGUGUUGCUGGAAAAGUGCAGCAGGUCAGGCAGCAUCCAAGGAGCAGGAGAAUCGACGUUUUGGGCAUGAGCCCUUCUUCAGGAUUCAGCAGUGAAUGUUCUGAGGGGUCAGCUUUGAACAACUACAUUUGAAUCUGAGAAUGUUUGCAAAUGGUUACAUUGCUUAUUUCGUCUUGGUGAUUUUACAAGUUUAUUUGAAAGGUGAGCAAGUAGUACAUAACACACGUGCAAUAUAAAUCCAUCCCAAGUAAUGGAGCUCAACGAUGUUCAGCAAAAAGCAUGCAAGAC